CAGCCGCCACGGUAAUACGAAGGGGGCUAGCGUUGUUCGGAAUUACUGGGCGUAAAGCGCACGUAGGCGGAUAUUUAAGUCAGGGGUGAAAUCCCAGAGCUCAACUCUGGAACUGCCUUUGAUACUGGGUAUCUUGAGUAUGGAAGAGGUGAGUGGAAUUCCGAGUGUAGAGGUGAAAUUCGUAGAUAUUCGGAGGAACACCAGUGGCGAAGGCGGCUCACUGGUCCAUUACUGACGCUGAGGUGCGAAAGCGUGGGGAGCAAACAGGAUUAGAUACCCCAGUAGUCCCUGUCUCUUAUAC
rnacentral:rRNA from 1 species